GAACAGGAGAUCAUAUAUGUAGGGUAUUAAUUAAAUUAUGGUCCUAAAUUAAUUUUGAUAAUGUUAAAUAGGCCCUGUUGUUGGAGAAUUUCCAUGCCAAAAUGAUGUGAACCUGGCCCCAGCACCACCACUACCACAGCCAAGUGUGAUUGAAAAUAUGACAGAAUUCAAGCGCAGUCUGCCGCUCUUUCCACUGGUGAAACCACAUAUCAAUUUCAUGGCUG